rnacentral:rRNA from 1 species
GAGUUUGAUCCUGGCUCAGAUUGAACGCUGGCGGCAGGCUUAACACAUGCAAGUCGAGCGGGGGAGAUCGCUUCGGUAAUUGACCUAGCGGCGGACGGGUGAGUAAUACUUAGGAAUCUGCCUAUUAAUGGGGGACAACAUCUCGAAAGGGAUGCUAAUACCGCAUACGCCCUACGGGGAAAGGCAGGGGAUCACUUGUGACCUUGCGUUAAUAGAUGAGCCUAAGUCGGAUUAGCUAGUUGUGGGGUAAAGGCCUACCAAGGCGACGAUCUGUAGCGGGCCUGAGAGGAUGAUCCGCCACACUGGGACUGAGACACGGCCCAGACUCCUACGGGAGGC